rnacentral:rRNA from 1 species
GAACGGGUGCGUAACACGUGAGCAACCUACCGAAGUGUGGGGGGAUAGCCGGUCUAACGGCCGAGUAAUACCGCAUACGAUUCCGAAGAGGCAUUUCUUUGGAAUGAAACCUACGGGGUACUUCGAGGGGCUCGCGGCCUAUCAGCUAGUUGGUGAGGUAACGGCUCACCAAGGCAACGACGGGUAGCUGGUCUGAGAGGAUGGCCAGCCACAUUGGGACUGAGAUACGGCCCAG